rnacentral:hammerhead_ribozyme from 1 species
AUCCAGCUGACGAGUCCUAAAUAGGACGAAACGUGUGUCAAGCUAGAU